GGUCUCUGAAAACAACAGUAACUGGAGUUGAGAUGUUCAAGAGAUUUUGGACCAAGGACAAGCUGGUGACAAUGUUGGUCUUCUUCUCCGUGGUCUGAAGCGUGAAGAUAUUCAACGUGGUCAGGUGAUUGCAAAGCCAGUUC